GAUGAACGCUGGCGGCGUGCCUAAUACAUGCAAGUCGAGCGAACGGACGAGAAGCUUGCUUCUCUGAUGUUAGCGGCGGACGGGUGAGUAACACGUGGAUAACCUACCUAUAAGACUGGGAUAACUUCGGGAAACCGGAGCUAAUACCGGAUAAUAUUUUGAACCGCAUGGUUCAAAAGUGAAAGACGGUCUUGCUGUCACUUAUAGAUGGAUCCGCGCUGCAUUAGCUAGUUGGUAAGGUAACGGCUUACCAAGGCAACGAUGCAUAGCCGACCUGAGAGGGUGAUCGGCCACACUGGAACUGAGACACGGUCCAGACUCCUACGGGAGGCAGCAGUAGGGAAUCUUCCGCAAUGGGCGAAAGCCUGACGGAGCAACGCCGCGUGAGUGAUGAAGGUCUUCGGAUCGUAAAACUCUGUUAUUAGGGAAGAACAUAUGUGUAAGUAACUGUGCACAUCUUGACGGUACCUAAUCAGAAAGCCACGGCUAACUACGUGCCAGCAGCCGCGGUAAUACGUAGGUGGCAAGCGUUAUCCGGAAUUAUUGGGCGUAAAGCGCGCGUAGGCGGUUUUUUAAGUCUGAUGUGAAAGCCCACGGCUCAACCGUGGAGGGUCAUUGGAAACUGGAAAACUUGAGUGCAGAAGAGGAAAGUGGAAUUCCAUGUGUAGCGGUGAAAUGCGCAGAGAUAUGGAGGAACACCAGUGGCGAAGGCGACUUUCUGGUCUGUAACUGACGCUGAUGUGCGAAAGCGUGGGGAUCAAACAGGAUUAGAUACCCUGGUAGUCCACGCCGUAAACGAUGAGUGCUAAGUGUUAGGGGGUUUCCGCCCCUUAGUGCUGCAGCUAACGCAUUAAGCACUCCGCCUGGGGAGUACGACCGCAAGGUUGAAACUCAAAGGAAUUGACGGGGACCCGCACAAGCGGUGGAGCAUGUGGUUUAAUUCGAAGCAACGCGAAGAACCUUACCAAAUCUUGACAUCCUUUGACAACUCUAGAGAUAGAGCUUUCCCCUUCGGGGGACAAAGUGACAGGUGGUGCAUGGUUGUCGUCAGCUCGUGUCGUGAGAUGUUGGGUUAAGUCCCGCAACGAGCGCAACCCUUAAGCUUAGUUGCCAUCAUUAAGUUGGGCACUCUAAGUUGACUGCCGGUGACAAACCGGAGGAAGGUGGGGAUGACGUCAAAUCAUCAUGCCCCUUAUGAUUUGGGCUACACACGUGCUACAAUGGACAAUACAAAGGGCAGCGAAACCGCGAGGUCAAGCAAAUCCCAUAAAGUUGUUCUCAGUUCGGAUUGUAGUCUGCAACUCGACUAUAUGAAGCUGGAAUCGCUAGUAAUCGUAGAUCAGCAUGCUACGGUGAAUACGUUCCCGGGUCU
rnacentral:rRNA from 1 species